rnacentral:rRNA from 1 species
GCUUAUCACCAUUCCAGAUUGAAUAUACCCGAUCUCGUUUGAUCUCGGAAGUCAAGCAAUCUCGGGCUG